rnacentral:lncRNA from 1 species
GCAAAGAUACCAAAGCAGGUGAUCCUGAUCAGGAGAGGUCUGUCUCCAUAUUAUCUCAUUAUUUCAAGAUUGGUCAGGUCUGACCAUGUCAGGUUAAAAAAAAAAAUUACUGUUGCCUGGCAGGUAGUUUCAACUCAUCACAAGAUGUUUACUGGAUCAGAUUCCUGGAAUCAAAGGUGACUUGGAGCAAAGGGAAUAGAUGUAAAAUGGAGGUGGGAAUGCCAAGUCUUUAAUCUUGCUCUUAGCCACCCAUCAAACAUUUGCAGGCAGAAGUGAAGAGUUAAGUCCUUGUUAGAAUAUGAGUAAAAAUAUGAUUUGGACUUUUUAAAUACCAGCAUAAUUAAUCUCCAAAUUUCUGUAUUUCUUCCAUCUUUAAGUCCAGUCCCAAUAUAGGCUCAUGCCGCAUGUAAGGGAGGGAAAAACAAUUAUUUUUGCUUCAUCUCAUCUUAGGCUCACUAGCUGGGGCUGAUGAAUCAAACUGGUAAAAGAUUAACAGGAGAAAAAGUAAGCUUUAAUUACACAUGUACACAUGGGAGAUCACAAAGUCAAAUGUGGCUCAAGGAGGCAGGCAGAUAAUCGAGGUUUACAUAUCAUCUUAAGCUAAACAACGUUGAGGGGUUUGGGGAUUCUGGGAGAGGGAGAAUCAAGUUCUGGGCGGUGACAAGGAAAAGCAUGGUAACAAGGGUUGUUUAGUAUGAUUUGUUGUGCAGAUCUAAGCCAAUAUCUUCUCUACUGAGAAGGUCCGACAGAAGGAUAUGCCUUUAUCAAAGCAAAUUUUACAUCUUGUGAUGAGUUGAAACUACCUGCC